CCUACGGGUGGCAGCAGUGAGGCAUAUUGGUCAAUGGACGAGAGUCUGAACCAGCCAAGUAGCGUGAAGGAUGACUGCCCUAUGGGUUGUAAACUUCUUUUAUAUGGGAAUAAAAUGUUCCACGUGUGGGAUUUUGUAUGUACCAUAUGAAUAAGGAUCGGCUAACUCCGUGCCAGCAGCCGCGGUAAUACGGAGGAUCCGAGCGUUAUCCGGAUUUAUUGGGUUUAAAGGGAGCGUAGGUGGAUUGUUAAGUCAGUUGUGAAAGUUUGCGGCUCAACCGUAAAAUUGCAGUUGAAACUGGCAGUCUUGAGGACAGUAGAGGUGGGCGGAAUUCGUGGUGUAGCGGUGAAAUGCUUAGAUAUCACGAAGAACUCCGAUUGCGAAGGCAGUUCACUGGACUGCAACUGACACUGAGGCUCGAAAGUGUGGGUAUCAAACAGGAUUAGAUACCCUUGUAGUC
rnacentral:rRNA from 1 species